CCGCCGAUCUCGUAACCCUACUCGUCGUUUUCUCAUCAGCUGCAUGUAACCAGAUCAGAUCUCAGCCCUAAGGUAAGGUUCAUAUCUUCUUAUUCCAUCUUUCUUGUCAUUGAGUGGAAAAAACGGCUUUUUCAUACAUGAACAACUCGUAUAAGUUCUAUUUCUACACAGACUUGUGAAGUAGUUCAACUCAUACAUAAACUAUCAAAUUUCGAUUUAACAUACCUGAACUUUCUCUUUUUAAAAAAAAUCAACUUUGACCCUACACUACAAGAAAACACAAGUUUUACGAGGGCAGUUUUCCUCGUUACUUCGUCGUAAAAGCAGUGUUACGACGAAUUAGCGAGGAAACCCGUUUCGUCGUUAUACGUUUGUCGUAACGCAUAUAUCCUCGCUAAUUCGUCGUAAGUUAGCGAGGAAAUAAUUUCGUCGUAAAAGCAAAGGAGGAUAUUUCGUCGUAAAGACCACGUAAAGAUUCCACGUAAGGACGUCACUAAGUUUCCUCGUAAAUACCACGAAAAACUUUCCUCGUAAAACCCACGUAAAUAAAUACUCGUAAAAUUAACGUAAAUACCUUGACAGCUUUCCACGUAAAGAAAACGUAAAAACCUUGAUAGAUUUCCACGUUAUUUCCUUGUAAAUAUUUCCUCGUAAAAACCACGUUAAGCUUCCACGUAAAGAAGCCGCAAAAUUAGCUACGAAUUUACUUCGUUUCAUUAUUUUAUAGAAAUAUAAAAAAUUAUAAUUAUAAAUAUAAUUUAAAUUAUUUAAAUUAUUAAUAAAAUUAAAAUUCUAAAAAAAUCAAAACCAAAAUAUUUUAUAUAUAAAUAAGUUUUGAAUUCAUAAUACAAGAACCGAAAUUAAAAAGAACUAAGGGUGGUCGUUAAUUAAUCGCCUCGUAGAAUUCAUCACUCCUCGCCUUAACAUCCGCCUCGGCAUGUGAGUCGUCGGUCGGUGACUGGCCUGGGAUAGGAUUUUGUUGUCGCAUGGUCCUCAACAAAGUCGCCCAUUCCGGAUUUGUGGCCGCUACAACGUCCAAGAAGCCCUCGAGUCCACCCAUACGAGAUCGCAGCUGAGUAGACUCUCUACGCAGCUGAGUAGACUCUCUACGCAGCUCUUCGGACUCCCUACGCAGCUGAGAGACUUCAUCAUCCCGUCGCUGAACAUAAGACGAUGUCGCUCUCGGAACAUCGUUGACGGAACCAAUCCCCAACGUCCGUCCCUUUUUUUAGGGACAACCUUAAAAACAAAAAAUAAAUUUUGUUAGUAAAAAUUUAAAGUUAAAUUAAAUGAAUAUUUAAAAAAAUUAAAAUUUUAGAAAAUUUACCUCCUCGUAAAGUUUAUCCACUUCAGGUGUGGAUAAGGUGACGGGUAAUCCAUCGGUGGACUGUUGGGUCAGCUGGGUCUGGCGUUCUUCAACCCGAGCAGCCAAAUCGUUGUAGAUUUGCUCGGACUUGCCAUCUAUAAAUCGGCCCGCCUUGUUCUUGUGGGUCCUCUCGUAAAGUUGCAUAAGAGACGGGAAUUCUCCCGUCUCUUUGGCCUAAAAAAACAUUUAAGAAAGUUGUUAAUUAGAAUAUAUAUAAAAAUAUACUAAAAAUUUAAUAUAAUUAAAUUUUUAAUUACCAUUUCCAAACGGACACCAGCGUGGGGUUUUUGGCCCCUAGUGUGAAGCAUCGGCCCGUUCCCGUGCUCAUCGACUGUGUUACGGGAGUUAGAGCAAGACUGGGCGAUUCUAAUGGAAUCAGGAAGACGCCAAUAUCGGAUGAGGCCAUCCCAAACAUCCGUGGUGAGCUCAGCGGGUUUGCCACGCUCAUACCCCUUCACGAUCCAGUCACCCUUCCAGUUGGAGACCGUGUCCAACAAGCGAACUUUCGCCUUCGCUUCAAACUUCUUCCUCACCCUCUCAGUGAUCCCGAAGGCCCAAUUAUAUUUUUGCUGUUGGAAAAAAUAAUUUAUAAUUAGUUUUUCAGAAAAAAAUAUAUAUAUAAAUAAAAAAAAAAUUUAAAGAUAUAUAUUUAAUUAAUAGAACUUACAGCGUAAAUUUUGAACCACGUCUUUCUGACGUAGUGGGCGUCGUUUUCCAGUUCGGAUGUGCCAUGGAGAAGUAACAUUUUAUCGUGUCGGUUACGUCCGAUGCAAGACAUUAGACAUCCGUCAAUCCCCCACCUGAAAAAUACAAAUUUAAAAUAUAAAUUAUUUUUUAAAGUUAUAAAAGAAUUUAAAAAGAAUAAAAAAAUAAUGAAACAUACCAUAAAGUUCCGUCCGGUCGGUCGGGGUUGAUGACUGGUAAACCUUCUCUGCCUGGCAGACGGAGAAUGUCCUCUACGGUGUACUGCGAGUAAGGAGCACUCGGAGGCACCAUCAAAUCGGGAUGAAUCUCAGCCGCGGGCAUCGGAGGUGCCGACAUCGUAGGAGGCACAGGAGGAGGAGGCAUCUGGGGAGGCACGUGAAGAACCGAUGGUGCACUAGAAGAAGGAGAUCCAAUGACUCUCUGAGUGUACUGAGUCUCGGGGACAGUCUCCUGACCCGAAGAACCGGGAGCUGAAGAAGACGACGGGUCUAAACGACUACCCGGCUCACCGAACAUCUCUCUGUAAUGGGCAGUAAGUCUACCUUUUCGAACCUGAGAAAAAAAUUUAAUUUUUUAAAUUUUCGUGAACAUAUACUUCCCAACAUUAUCCACCUAAUCAACACUAAAUAACAUAAGAUCCGUAAACCUAUCUAAAUUCCCUAUACUAACCACCUAAUCUAUCCUAAACUAAUCAAACUAGAGAGGAAUUAGAGAGACUUACCAUUGCUACGAAUUAGGGAGGAAGUGGAGAGGAAGUGGAGAGGAAAGACGGAGCGAGCUCGCUCGGGAUAUAUAUAAGAUUACUUGUCCUCGUAAUUUCCUCGUAAACUUACGAGGAAUUACAGAGGCCCACGUUUUCAGUUACGACGAAAUAGCGACGAAAUACAAAGGCCCGCGUUUUCGUUAACGACGUUUUUACGACGAAAAGGGUUAUGUGGAAUUAACGAGUUAACCAGUUACGAGGAAUUAGCGAGCCUUUAUUUUCUAUAAAUACCCACAACUUUCCUUCUCAAACCACACACACAAACUCACAAAACACACCCUAUCUCAAAUCACACUCCUCACCAAAAUACUUUUCAAAUUAGAAAUAUUUGAAAAAAAAAGAAGAAAAGAAGAUAUUAGAAUUUAUGUGGGUGAGACUUAAGUCUCGCCACAUAUAAUUCUAGUAUCUUUCUUUUUUUCUUUUUUUCUAAUUUUUAUACUAUGAGGACGUAGCAAGUCCCGCUUUUCACAAAUUUAGAAAAUUUGGAAAAAAAAGAAGAGAAGAAGAUAUUUGGAACUCAUGUGGUCGAGACUUACGUAAGUCUCGCCAAAUGUGAUUCAAGCAUCUUUCUUCUCUUCUUUUUUUUAGUAUUUUUAAUAUUUUCGUCGUAAUAUCGUCGUUAGUUUACGACUCUUUUACGACGAUUUUGGCUUACGUGGAAUUAGCGUGCCCCGCUUUUUUAAUUUCGUCGUAAACUCCUCGUGGCCUUACGAGGUGUUUACGACGAAAUCAUCCUACAUGGAAUUAAAGAGUGCCUCCUUCGUCAUUUACUUUACGUGGUAUUUACGUCAAUUUACCUUACGAGGUCUUUACGAGGAUUCUGUCCUACGUGGAAUUAAAGAGUGCCUCCUUCGUCAUUUACUUUACGUGGUAUUUACGUCAAUUUACCUUACGAGGUCUUUACGAGGAUUCUGUCCUACGUGGAAUUAAAGAGUGCCUCCUUCGUCAUUUACUUUACGUGGUAUUUACGUCAAUUUACCUUACGAGGUCUUUACGAGGAUUCUGUCCUACGUGGAAUUAAAGAGUGCCUCCUUCGUCAUUUACUUUACGUGGUAUUUACGUCAAUUUACCUUACGAGGUCUUUACGACGAUUCUGUCCUACGUGGAAUAAACGAGGAUUAUGUCGGACAUUCGACGUCAAAUUACGAGGAAUUAACGAGCAGUACGUUUAAAUCCCUAAAAUCCGAAACCCCAAACCCCAAAACCCCAUAUUCCUUAUCUUCUACUUCAUAUAUUCCAAACCCCAUGUUUAUUUCCAUUCCAAACCACAAUUCCCACAUUUACUUAUUUAUAAAACAAACUCCCACAAUUUCUUAUUCAUAAAACAAACUCCCACAUUACCUUAUUCAUAAAACAAACUCUCACAUUACCUUAUUCAUAAAAAAAACUACACAAAAUCAAAUACAUCAAUCGGAUACAUCGACAUUCUCGUCAUCACUAGAAAUAUCAUCAUUUUCAUUAAACUCGUCUUCUACAGCUUCGUCUGUGGCAUCAUCGGUAAGAUCUUUGUAUUCGUGAUUAUGCGGAUCAAUGAGAAGGAUGUCAUCAACUUCUUGUUCAGGUUCCUCGACUUCAUUUAUCUGUUCUUCUUGCAAUGGUGGUUCUUCUCCACUGAUGAUUCGUCCUCGAGGUGUAACUUUGAUCACUGCUAACCAAUUUAUACCCGAAUCUCUCAUCCGAGGGUAUGGAAGGAAGCUAACUUGGUCUGCUUGUGAAGCUAAGAUGAAAGGCUCGAAUUUGUUGUACCGACGUCCACCGUUGACAUCAACUACACCAAAUUUGUUAGACCGAACACCUCUGUUGACGACGGGGUCGAACCAUUCACAUUUGAAGAUGACGCAUUUCAGCUUCAGUAUCCCUGGAAAUUCGACUUCAAUAAUCUCCGUCAAGAUCCCGUAGAAAUCUGUUUCCCCUUUCACACAUAUUCCAUAGUUACUGGUCGUCCGCUGUCUACCAUACUCAUAUGUGUGAAAAGUGUAGCCUCGUGUGAAAUACAUCUGUGAUGUGGUGACCUUUACAAGUGGAGAUUGAAUUACUUCGUGUAACCACUUAGGAUAAUCUGCAUCGUCGUCAUAAUCAACCUGCAAAAAUAAAGAGAACAUUAAAAUACAAAUCAUGUAUGAAAAAAUAGUUUGAGUUAUAAUACCUGAUUCCGCAACCACUUAAUGAAGUGCUGAUCUUUCCUUUUGUCUACGUCACUUGUGGAUAUACCAGGAAAUGUUUCUUCGACUUGAGAAACAAAUAGGCUGUAAAAUUAAUCACAUUUCAUAGGAAUGAAUCUCUUGCAAUUAUAUAAUUAAUUAUAUGUGUUUUGAAGUGUCCAUAUAUGUUACCUUUCAAAAUAACGCAUCAAUGGAUCCUCGCAAUUGAGUAGAAUAUAGGUGUGUGCACUAUGAGCGUCUUGUUCACUCGACCACCAAACCUCUUUAGACUUCCCACCGAGUCGUCCAAUCUGGCUAAAGAUGUCUGGAACACCAGCAACUGCAUAUGUUGGCGCAACUCCACCAUCAUCAUAUCUUCUUGGAGCUCUUCUAUGGGUACGUACUUUUGACGCAAAGUAGUACGAUGUGAAGUGAGAAACUUCUUCCGUCAAAUUUCCAGCAAUUAUAGAACCUUCAACUUUGGCGAGGUUCUUUGCUUUUCCCUUCAAAUAUUUCAUGGCUCGCUCAUACUGAUACAUCCAUCCGUAAUGUACAGGUCCACGAAGCAAUGCUUCAUAUGGGAGGUGGACAGCUAGAUGCUCCAUGACGUCAAAAAAUCCAGGAGGAAAUAUCUUCUCCAAGUUGCACAAUAAGAUGGAAAUGUUCUCCUGAAGCUGUUCUACAACUUCUUCUUUAAGAGUGCGUGUGCUCAGAUCCCUGAAAAAUGCUCCAAUGCCUUUUAUAUUCCAAAAACAAUUAAACACAUUGUUAGUCGUAUAUUAUUUUGCAAACUAGACCGUUAUAAAAUUAUUGUGAUAUAAAACACUACGAACCUGCAAGUGCUUCAUGUACGUUUGUUGGAAGUAGCUCCGCAAAUGCAAAGGGCAGUAGUCGUUGCAUAAAGACAUGACAAUCAUGACUCUUCAUCCCAGAGAACUUUUGACCCUUUUCAACACAUCUAGAGAGAUUUGAAACAUACCCAUCGGGGAACUUCACUUCUGAUGCCACCCAGUUGAACAACACCGACUUUUUUUCUGAAGACAGUCUAAAUAUCGGAACGGGAACUUGUCCAUUGCUUUUAAUAUGUAACUCGCUUCUUGAGCAAAUAUCCGGCAAGUCCAACCUCGAUUUUAUGUUGUCUUUUGUCUUCCCUGGGACAUUCAAUAUUGUAUUCAUGAUGUUCUCAAAGAAAUUCUUCUCUAUAUGCAUCACAUCGAGGUUGUGGCGCAGAAGAAGAUCCUUCCAAUAUGGCAACUCCCAAAAUAUACUCUUCUUGUGCCAGUUGUGAUGAACACCGUAAGAAUUAGGCAUAUUACGAGGGACAUGCCAAUUACCACCCCAACGAACUGUUUCGUUAGCUCCGUAGUAGUCGAUUUGUGCUUCAAUUUGUUCUCCAGUUAGAUAUGGUGGAGAAGUGUCUCUCACAACCCUUUUGUGCCUAAACAAAUUCUUGUUUCUUCGGUAAGGAUGGCCAAUGGGAAGAAAUCGACGAUGACAAUCAAACCAACUUGUCUUCCUACCAUUCUUCAGUUGAAACGCAUCUGUCGUUCCAUUACAAUAUGGACAAGCUAAUCUCCCAUGUGUAGUCCAUCCAGACAACAUCCCAUAUGCAGGAAAGUCACUUAUGGUCCACAAAAGCAUAGCUCGCAUCGUAAAAUUCAUCUUCGUUGAACAGUCAUACGUCCUCACCCCUGUUGACCACAAAUCCUUCAACUCUUUUAUCAGUGGUUGUAGGAAAACAUCCAGGGACCUUUUUGGAUGGUUCGGACUAGGUAUCAAUAUCGUCAAGAAUAGCAACUCCCGUUGCAUGCACAUCUCCGGUGGCAGGUUGUAUGGCGUAAGAAAGACUGGCCACAAUGAAUAUUGUCUCCCUGACAUUCCGAACGGAUUAAAUCCAUCUGUACAUAAUCCGAGAUACACAUUCCGGCUAUUGCUAGCAAAAUCCGGAUGUACUUUGUUGAAAUGUUUCCAGGCUCUUGCAUCUGAUGGAUGAGUCAUCUCACCAUCCGUCUGAGUAUGCUCGGCAUGCCAUCUCAUCUUUGCAGCAGUCUGCUCUGAUUGAUACAAUCUUUUCAAUCUGUCUGUAAUUGGUAGGUACCACAUCCUUUGGUACGGUACCCUAUUACGUCCCCGUCCUUGCGGCUUGAAUCGUGGCUUCUUGCAGAAUCGACAUACUUCUAGCUUCCCAUCAUCUCCCCAAUAGAUCAUGCAGUUGUCGAUGCAGACAUCUAUCAUCUCCGAUCAUCUCCCCAAUAGAUCAUGCAGUUGUCGAUGCAGACAUCUAUCAUCUCCGAAGGCAACCCAAGACUAUAAACUAAUUUCUGAAUCUCAUAAUAAGAAUCAGCAGACACAUUGUCUUCCGGCAAAUACUCUUUAAACAAGUCCGCCCAUUCGUUCAUGCAACUUUCAGGUAGAUUGUGAUCAGUUUUAAUAUUCAUCAUUCUAGCAGCCAACGACAAUUUAGAGAGACCUUCUCUACAACCACUGUAAAGUGGUUGAUUCGCCGCGUUUAACAUUCCGUAAAACUUUUUUGCAUCUAUAUUAGGUUCUUCAUCUUCAUCAUGAGCUACGAAUGCAUCAGCUACCAUAUCAUGAACCCUAUCAUAAUCUACCAUCUCCUCCUGAUGGUAACUAUGUUCAUUAUGCAAAUGAUGAUUAACCGGUUCUUCCUGAAAAUUGCUAUUACUACUACUAGCUUCAUUCUGAUCAUAAUUAUAACGUUCCCCAUGUUGAAACCAGAUAUAGUAAUUUGGCGUGAAACCUCUAUUUAUUAAAUGCUUCCAAACAUUUUCACGGUUUGCCAAUUUCGAAUUGUUGCAUUUCCGACAAGGACAGAACAUCUUACCACUUUCUUGGGCGAGCGGUGUUGAAUCUGCUUGGUGCAUAAAUGUCUCCAGCCCCGCAAGGUAUUCUUUCGUCACUCUCCCGUUAGCAUCUCUAUGCAUAUACAUCCAAUUCCGCAACUCGUAAAUAGUCCCAGAGCUAGCCAUUUUUUUUUCUUUCACGUUUUUUGUUGUUGGUGUGUUUAAAAUGAUGUUCCAACAUCCAUAUUUAUAGAAAAUUUCGAAUCUGGUAGUUGUAAUUUUACUAUGAAAUUACGACGAAAAUUAAUUGUAUGGCCAAAAAAAAAACGUGAGCCACCUACCAAGUUGGUGGAUUCAAAAUUUCCUCGUUAAGUACACGUAAAAUAUUUCGUCGUAAAGCACUCGCGAAAUUUACGUGGCUUUUACGAGGAAAAACUAUUUCCUCGUAAAAGCCACGUCAAUUUACAUCGUCUUUACGACGAAUAUUUUUUGUCGUUAACUUACGACGAAAUAACGAUGCUUUUCUUUCUCAACGUACUUUCCUCGCAAAAUCAACAUUUAUUUACGAGGAUUAUUUUUCCUCGUUAAACUUCCUCGUUAAAGUUACGUUUUCUUGUAGUGCUAAUUCUGUGAGUCAACUGUUAAGUGUUAACGUUUCUCAAUACGACGUAGCUUGCGAUGAAAUUUUAUUUACUCUUCUUCUUUCUUUUACACUUUGCUAAACAGAGAUCAAUUGGGAGUAAAUUGAUCAUGUCUUAACAAGAUGAAACAUAGUUUAGAAAAAAAGAUUACUUUAACCAUCAUCAAGUACGAAUCCAAAAGAAACAACAAAAGUAUCACAGCACAUCCUAAGAACCGAACCAACAAAACCUGCACCAACAGAUCCUAAAAACUUAAAGCAAAAAAAAAAAAAAAACAGAUCCACCACCAAAGCUUUUAACUCCAUCAAAGCUUAACUCCAUCAAAGCUUAUACCUGACAGUAGAGAAAACUAUAAACAACAAUCACUAUGCAAUGAUAUAUAACAAAACGAGUCAAAGGGGUACCUGUGAUUUUUGGUUUGGUCCUUCUCCUUGUGAUAACAUGUUUUUUUUGGCUUCCUAUAAACUGAGGCACCACUAUUUGGACAUUUAAAAGCAUUAUGACCUGUUAUCCCACAAUGUCCACACGUCAUUGUCCUUCCUUCCCUGCUAGCUUUAAGUUUCUUAGGAGAUUCUUCACCGCAUUGAACCUUUCGUUUCUUUUUUGGAGACUCAUUUUUUCCUUUAAUCCUCUUUUGCUUCUUCUUACGACCUUUAGAUUCUGGCCUCGUUGGUGGUUGUGUCCGAGUUUCAUCGGUUUUUCUCCAAAAUCGCAUGCCGGUAACAGGAGAGAUAGAGUUCUCAUAUGUGGCACGCCAUUUAGAGGUCAGGUACCAAUCUGAAACAUAAUCAUCAGAUUUCCACUUACAUAUGCAUGAUCACUCGUAGAGCAUGGCGACAUGGAAUGCCGGUCAUAUCCCACUUCCGACAUGUACAUGUCCUUCUUGUCAUAUGAACACUAUGGCCAACAUUAUUCUCACGCACAUCAAACUGCCCAUUAGCUCCAGCAACUGCUCGACAAUUCUUUUUGUGUUUUGACUCUUCAGCAAUGGUUUUUGCCACUUUCUUACUGUAUUUCCCCUUGUGUUUCUUCAUUUUCUCCUUCCGUAAAUCAAUUCGUACCAUAGCUAGACGCCUUAUUGUCUCAAGCAUCUCCACUAAAGGCAUCUCUCUUGCUGUGUUGAUUGUGUUGUUAUAUGUCUCCGAGAAAUUGUUGUGAACAUCUUCACAACAUGCUGUACCCGUGAAGUAAGCACGGCUGCAAGCCUGAGGAUUUUUUUCCAUUAAUGUUUCAUAAACACCAAGGUCAUACUGCCUCAUUUCUUCAAUUCCUUCAUCAUACUCAGCAACCGUGUAUGCCUUUGCAAUUUUCCAAAAGAUCUUCUUCAUUAUUGCCCUGCCCGGAUGCACUCUUGUAAGGUUGCCAUAUAUGUGGCGAGCACAUAUACGAUGUUCUAUCUUAGGAAGCUCUUGAUCCACAGCGAUAAGCAAACCUUUUUGCCUAUCCGAUAUUAGCGUGAAUCCUUCUCCAUCACCAAUACCAAGGUCAGCUUUGAGUUUUGCAAUAAACCAUACCCAAUUGUCUGUGUUUUCCACUUGUACAACUGCCCAAGCAACUGGAUAGAGCUGAUUGUUUGCAUCUCUUCCAACGGCUGCCAAGAGUUGACCUUUGACAUUGUUCUUUAAAAAACAACCAUCAAUCCCAAUAAUAGGACGGCAGCAGGCACGCCAUGUAUCACGGAGUGCUUUAAAACAGACAUAGAAAUUAUCGAAUAAAUCAACUCCUUCAACUCCAGGCACUGUCCCAAGCUCAAUAGUCGACUCUGGAUUAGUUCUAAAACAUGUAAUAGAAAGAGUUCAAUUUUAUUUUAUAAAAGUGCAAAAAACUGUUCUACUUACCUCAAAAGCUCUGUUUUGUAGUCUCUGAACCUUGCAAAUUGCUCAUCAUCUUCAUCUUGAAUCAUCUUUAAAGCCUUCCCCUUUGCUUUUCUACACUGGUUAUGUGUCACAACCAAGUCAUAUCAGUCCUCAAGAGUUUGUUGCAUUGCUUGUGGCAUCAAAUCAGGAUUUCUUCUAAAGUCAUUCAAGAACAAUUUUGCAAUUACACCGUCCUUCACCACUUUGCUAAACCCGUCCUUGUUACAAGAAUGCUCAUCAUUGCAGAACUUAACCAUGAACAAUUUUAUUGGUUUCUCAUACGAACAAUAUAUCCUAAAAGGACAACCUUCACCAAUUGUACACCUCACUUCGGAUUUUUCGGAUCCCCAUCUAGUGAACUUGACAUUUCGCCCUGUUUUAAGCACAUAAUCAACAAUGGCUUCUUUGAACUCGGUGAUGGUAUCAAACGUCUGCUCCAGCCUGCUCUCUCCACUGAAUUUUAUGUAUUUAUCAUAAUGUUUCCGACCAUUUGCUCCAUCCUCUUCAUCACAAUCCGAGUUGGGUGGUGUAUCCUCAUCAUUGCAUUGUUCUUCCUCAUCAACAAAUCCUGCUAUAUUUUCCUCAAUACGGGCUUCCUCCUCACACAUCUCAUCUCUGUUACCACCAACUGUCGCAUGAAAAGCAUCUCCCACAGUCUCAUUAGCAUGAGAAUCAUCAUCAUUAACAUCAUCUUCCUCGAGAAAUACAUCAACCAUUUUCGUCCGUACAGCUGCUUCACACAUCCUCUGAAAAUUUUGGUCACCAUUAAAUAUGAUCUUUAGCUCUUCAAGACUCUCAUACGACAUCUUAUACCCAUAUCCUAUGGUUAUAUAGUGACACGCCCAAUACAUUCACCACGUGGGUAAAGAUCUCACGUGGAUCACAAUCAAUAAUCUGUACAUUGCCUCCGUCGUAAGCAAGGUCGGGACUUGAAUUUUUCCACUUCCCCUUGUAGUGACAAUUGAAUAUUACACCAGUAGAGCUGAAACAAGGAAGAAAAAAGAACAUUUACAACUCUAGCAAAACAAGGAAUGAAGAAGAACAAUUAAAAUGAUAAACACACGAGACAAAGACAAACAUAUGAAAAAAUCACAGAAUCUAAAAGCCCAUAAAAGAAGAAGAAGAGCAGUGGAAUCACUUACCUCAUUUUCUUCUCAGUAACAACUGAGAUUUCUACCCGUUCAAAGUUAUUAAGGUUAAAUCUUCUAAAUAAAUUUGAAACCCUAAUUUCUCCUAUUGCUCUCUGUUUGACGAAGUAAAAAGGAAGAAGAAGAGUUAAAUGAAAUUUCACUCAAAAGGACGUCUUUUUGUGACUGGAUCUAUUUUAGAAAAAAAAAUUCACAAUGUCCCGUAUCGAAAACGUCAACACUUAACAGUUAACUCACAGAAUUAGGGUCAAAGUUGAUUUUUUUAAAAAAGAGAAAGUUCAGGUAUGUUGAAUCCAAAUUUGAUAGUUUAUGUAUGCGUUGAACUACCUCAAAAGUCUGGGUAGAGGUAGAACUUAUAUGAGUUGUUCAUGUAUGAAAAAGCCGUUUUUCCGUCAUUGAGUAUGACAGAUCUGAGUUUCUGACCGCCUCUUCUUCCUUUCUAGAUCCAGAUCUGUACCGUCAAGUCAAGCUAAGGUGAUGACCCGACCGUUAACUCUUCUCAUGUCCUGCAAGCGUUCAAGGGCAGUCCCUUGUUAAAUAAAGUCUAGGUGUAGUUAGGAUCUAUUUGUAUAUGUUUAUUUGCUUGAUUAAACUGUUAGAUCUAUUUGUUGACUUGUAGUGAUGUGAUUAAAACAUAUAGAGCUAUUAGGUUGAUAAAUGAUAAACCGGUUUGUGAGAUGCAUGUGGCAUGUGAAUGAAUGAGACCAUGUGAAUGGGUACAGAGAAUGAUUGAGGUGUGUGUAUGUGACACCAAGAAAGAGACCAUGUGAAUGGGUAACAGAGAAUGAUUGAUGUGUGUGUAUGUGACACUAAGAACGAGUGUGGUCAUAUGAGGACAUGGAGAAAUGUGGAAUGUGGCACCGGCAGGAUUGAGUCAUGUCGAGUCUAGGCAUAAGUAACUAUGGGACUGGAGAACGGACAGUGCCUUACUGAGUCAAAGAGGCCGUGACCGGGUAGUCACAUAGGAGCUACGGAUCGUAGCCCAGUUUGGGCGCCCAUAGGAAAUGCAACGAAGGGGGUUCGUGAUGGCUCCCCCGGGGUGUGAAAUAGGUCCUAAAGGUAUAGGUUGUUUGUGGCAUGAUAGUCCAUAUUAGCUUGUGACUGUGAUGAAUGUAUGAUUGUCCUGUUAUGAGUUCACAGGUUCCUAGAACUUACCCUCACUGAGUAAUCUCAAUACUCACCCCUCUCUUUUGUAGAUACGAACGGGGAAGUCAAGGAGUAGGAGUUUGGUGGUGUCAUCUUUCGAGUUUAUGGUUUAUUUUUAAGUUAUUCAUGAAUUCAAACACUAUCUCUU
rnacentral:lncRNA from 1 species